rnacentral:lncRNA from 10 species
CCACCCCCAAUCUAAAGCCUAUAGCUAUAAGGUCCUUUAUCAAACUUCAGAUAGAUCUGAAAGUGUGCCACAUAGACCCUGUCUACUAGACAGACAGGUUUCUAAGGCUCUUGAAACCAUUGUUCCACAGCAUACUGAGUUUCAGGUAAGCCAUAGAGAGGUCUAUCACAAGGAAAUCACUGGGCAUGGAUUUUGUCCAAUAGAGUUAAUCUCAACAAGAUUAAAAGAAAGACUACAGUUUUUUGAAUAUUGUAUUGGUGAAAGCAUGAUCAGCUUGGACUGAAGGGGACAGAAAAGGUUCACCAUUAAACAAAACAAAAUACCACAAAAUAUUCAGAACCUCGGAACUUCUAUUGGCAGGAUAUAAUGUGGAUAACAACAGUGAAGAUGAACUUCUAGUCUAUGAGCAAGGGGCGUUGCAAUGUUUGUAUCUCAGGAAGAAAACAUCCCAUCCAGUCCACAAAUAGCUAUCACAUUGAAACAAGCCAAAGAGUCAUCGUGAUCAUAGCUAUCAAAAGAAGUAUUAAAA